GUUCAAGGGGGAAAGCUCCUGAUUCUAAGCUGUCUACUAAGAGGAACAAGAUGCACAGUACAGAAUUAAGUGAACAGACUUCCAGGUUUCCCUUGGCUAAGUAUCUAACAUAUGAGAAAAAGAUGCUAAAGAAAUCCCUGUCCUGGAAUCUUACCUGAAAAGCAUCUGCUUCAGCAUCCGAUUGGCCGUUACAACUCUGGGAAGGCGGCCAGUAGAGAGGGAGUGGAGCUCCAAAUUGGAAGAAAUGAGCUGGGUUGUCAUGUCUGUGUCUGCUGCUGUCCCAGCACCACAACAACUAAAAAAUACCACGAGAAACUUAGCUGACAUUCAAUUACCAGGAGUCUCAAUUAGAAGCUGAGUUCAAGUAUACAGAGAGGAUUUAAGUCUAUCUGCAAUGCAAUUACUCUAAUCAAUCUUAAGUAAACCCAAAAUUGAGAAUACACA